UGGAAUAUUACUUAGCCACUCAAAGUGAGAAAUCCUGACACAAGCUCCAACCUGGGAUGAACCUUGUAAACCUUAUGCUGAGAGAAACAAGACACUCCCAGAAGGACAGAUUCAGUGUAACAACUUAGAGGAGAGACUUGACCUGUUACAAAGACACAAUGAAGAGUCUCCAGGGCUAGGGGAGGAUGUAACUUCGUGGUUACAGUUUCUACUUAGGGCUGGGGAUGGAGUUCAGUGGCUGCCGCACUUACUUCUCUAGGGCCACAACAAGCAAAGCCCAGAGCUUCCAUUUAGAAUGUUGAAAACCCUCCAGAUAUAUAGAAAGUCAUGGUGACCGGGUAUCAUGACUAGACUUAAUGCCACAUGGCUGUAUGCUUAAACAUGGUGACAAUGUUAAGCUUAGCCUUAGCAUAAUCAUCAGGAAGCAAUCAAUCAAGCAACCAAGCAAGCAAGAAAGCAAGCAAACAGAGCAGUCCCAUUUUGCCCUCUGCUCUUCCUCAUCUAAAACCAGCAAAGAACAGAACUGUGUUUGCUGUCUCUGGAUUCUAAUGAUAAACUCCUAAAUUCCUGCUCCUUAAAUGCCCUGGGGAUUCUGAGGAGAGCAAACCCAGAGUUGGCAUUGAGGCCUCAGAGUCUACCUUGUCUUCAAAUGGCGGUCUCAAGAAGUAAGAACUGUGCUCAAGAUGUCUUGAUUUGAAAGAGUUUCCCACAAGUUCUGAGACAGGGCAAGGAUGUAGAUCGCUCCUGAGAGACACAGCCAGAAUACAGCAAACACAGAGGCGAAUGCCAGCAGCAAACCACUGAACUGAGAAUAGGACCCCCGUUGAAGGAAUCAGAGAAAGAACUGGAAGAGCUUGAAGGGGCUCGAGACCCCAUAUGAACAACAAUGCCAAGCAACCAGAGCUUCCAGGGACUAAGCCACUACCUAAAGACUAUACAUGGACUGACCUUGGACUCUGACCUCAUAGGUAGCAAUGAAUAUCUUAGUAAGAGCACCAGUGGAAGGGGAAGCCCUGGGUCCUGCUAAGACUGAACCCCCAGUGAACUAGACUGGUGGGGGGAGGGCGGCAAUGGGGGGAGGGUUGGGAGGGGAACACCCAUAAGGAAGGGGAGGGGGGAGGGGGAUGUUUGCCUGGAUACCGGGAAAGGGAAUAACACUUGAAAUGUAUAUAAGAAAUACUCAAGUUAAUAAAAAAAAAAAAAAAGAACUGACAAAAAAAAAAUAAAUGCAGGGCAAAGUAGGAAGUCACUCGGCAGAAGAAAAAUGUAAAAUAGUUGAUGGAAACACCUUUUAAUAAUAAUUUUUAAAAAAGCACAAAUAACACUUUGGUGAGACUUGACCCCUGGCCUCCCACAGCACUCAUAGCGUAAGGAAGAUUGACAGAUCACUCAUCAAUACAGCUCUCAAUGAGAAUAUCUUUCUGGCUCUUGUGGAGGUCUGAGAAAGGAAUACUUGAUCUAUCAAAAUUGAAACAUUUUACAAAAUUCACAGCAUAGUUUUUCAAGCCCUUAGGUUUAACAAAGGCAUCCUGUUACUCUAUUUCUACAUUGUAUAGAUUUUUACCAGCUGCAUUCAAGAUUUUUUCACUUCCGAACUAAACUGCCUUAAAUAUUUAAAGGUAUUUAUAAUGAUGCGUUUUAAAAAUGUUUCAAUCGUCUGAGAGAAAAAACUUUCUCAUAUAUCCUUAAAUGUAAUGAAGAAGGAGCUUACACAUUAGUGGAUCUCAAUCUGGCUCGGUGGGUACAGGCGCGUGCCGCAAAGCCUGAUUUAGUUUGAAGCACAAGACCCGCCUAGUCUGAAGGGAGAGCUGUCCCCUAGAAGUGGCCCUCCACUUUCUGCAUGUUCACAGCGGCAUGAGUGCUCCCCCUGUAAACAUUUGUUAAUACCAUAAAGAUUAAAUGACUGCAUUGUUUAUAAGCUUCGUAGCUUUUAUUGUAGCUUUCCAUUUAUAAUCAUAAAUCAAAUUAGCUAAGUUACAUUAAAAUGAAUUGUGAAAUUGGA